UUGUAGCAGAUGUCAUAUGUGUUUAAGAUCUUAUGCCAGUUCACUUAGGAACUAAUUAAGGCGGAGCUAAUUUCAGGGGGAACUAUAAAAAUGAUGCACCACUGAGUAGAGAGACAAAUGCAUUCACUUCCAAGCAUUCAACAAGCUAAGGAAUGCUUAUGCUUUUCUUGAGUUUCUCCCUUCCGUAACCAGCCAAUGAGUUCUUACGUCUGGUACACCCCUGAUGUCUUGUGGUUUGCUCUAUGUUGAGAACUGAAGACUUGCUAUGAAAAUAAACCAGUCAGUA